CUGAGCUCGCCGGGGCCCGGCCGGCGGCUCAGGCCUGCCGGGCCCCGGCGGAUGAUCCCCGCCGGGUCAGCC
rnacentral:tRNA from 1 species